AGCUGUUCUUAUUUGCUGAAAGAGAAAAGACCACAGAAUUGAAUACCAGUGAUUUCCCGUUUUCUUAACUCUACUGAAAAGUCAUAAAACUGCAUUAGCAAUAAUUACAACUACAGUUGACCCUUGAACAACAUGGGAUUAAACUGUGUGGGUCCACUUACAUGCAGAUUUUCUUCCACUUCUGCCACCCUGAGGCAGCAAGUCAGCUCCUCUGCUCCCUCCUUCUCCUCAGCCUACUCUCCACAAAGAUGAUAAAGAAGACCUUUAUAUGAUCCACUUCCACUUAAUUAAUGCUGCUCCAUGAAGCCAGAAUUUGGACAUAUGGAAGGUCUUGCAUUUUUCACCAAAGAAAAAGCACUGGUAAAUGAGGUUUGUUCAGAAUUCAUCAGGAAACCUAUUACAAUUGCAGCAGCCCUGGAAACGCCUGCAUUACAAUGAACAAGAACCACUCCAUCCUACAAAGUGUAUCCAAAUCAUGAGCAGCAUCUUGUGACCCUAGAAGAAAUAAAUGAUACCACCUUGAACACAAAUAUAAUCAUCUUGAACUUUUAUAUAAAUUUCUACAGCAAUUCUGUUAUUAAAAAAAAAAGACCAACA
rnacentral:lncRNA from 1 species